UCUCUGCCCCUAUAGGCAAAAUCCCUUCUGAGCUCGGACAGACCAUUACAGAGAGAAUAGAGUGAACAAAACUGAUGUCUGUUGUGUGAAGGAUACAAUUUAUUUGUAUUCUCCAGAUGUUCUUGUUUUAUGGAGUCAUUUGUAUUCUAUCGUUUAUUUACACACCAUGGUUGGCAAUGCUCGCCUGGGCGCUCGGCACUGCAGUGAUUGUUUGCUCAACUCAUUUCGGUCUUCCUUGGGCUACAUUCUUUCUCAUUGUAACAAUGGUAUGAAACAGGGCUAAGAAGGAUACAAAAUGAUGGACCCACAACAUUGGCUGCUUUCACCAAUGAGUCAUUCCAAAACAAGAUGUAUCAGUAGCAGAGAUGACUUUUGGCAGCUGUGAGGAAAAGUUUCCCCUUCAGGGAAUUUCCUGCCUGGUCUGCAACACAGGCAAAUGGACCGGCAGAGAAAGGCACCCAGGACCUGAGGGAACCAGCUGUGCUGCAGAUGGUGCGUAGAGUCCGAGCUUUUGGUUUGCCUGGGCUACACUGACUGAAGAGGAAUUGUCUUGGGCCACAUACAUAUGGGUUGCAUCCUAUUUAUUGUCAUGGAAAUGACCACAGAUAAAAUGAGUAACUCUGUUUGACAGAGCAAAUUCUCAGCUACAAAAUGCUGUUUUUCAACACAGUCAUUUCUAUUAGAGAAGAAUUUUGCCGGCAAUGGACACAAGGCUGCAUACUGUGGCUUGUCAAAAUGUACACCAGCGCACAUGACCCAUGGCCACUGUCACCACUCCUGAAAUGCACUACACACUGCCCCUCUGUGCUCACAUCCAUAAAUGUUCAGCAAGCAUCAGUGAAGGCCAGUGGUUGCCAUUCUUUCCACGCAGUGAGAUUUAGUGACGCACUUUUGCUUCAUACACACUUCUGUGUCAGGCGCCAUUCUGUCAGACUGCCCCCUGUUGCCAUCUAUCACAUGGUAACAACACAUAAUGGAAUACUGGCGGAAGGUUCAGCCUCUGCUGCUGUAUCACCAGAACUGGCUUUUUGUGUCCUGGGACGAUGUUUCCUCUUUAACUCCUGGUGAGUGCAUCAUUUAUGUUAUGAUGUGAAAUAUCGAUAACAAAAAAUCAUAAAACCAUGACAAAGGAUUAACGUGAAAGAGCACACAAGAGGAGCAAUGAUAGAAACAUACCCACAUAUUGUUCAGGGUCUUGUCACCUUCACUCAGUUUUAGAUGUGGUUUUGACCUGAAGUAGCCAGAACAUUUUUUCAGGAUCAGAAUAGUAAGAUGGCUGAGGUAGAAGAACCAUCAUCUGCAGCAGAACUGCCAGUUUGUAUUCACUCAAGGAUCAUCCGCUUGGUUGCCUAUAGUAGGCUUUAAGUUUUACUGACCUUUCUAAAAGCUGCAUUCUAGAUUCGAUUUGGUAACAACUGAUAGAACAAACUGACUUUGAUGUCUUUAAUAGUAGACAUAAUCAUCAGUAAUUAUAAAUGGUGAACUGCCAUGACAAAUCUGCUUGCUUACAUUAUCUGAAGAAAUCUGGGACAAGAAAUGAAAGGAAAGCUUGUAAAUCUAACACCUGUCAUUUAUUGUCAUCUGUGCUAGCUAUUUGGAACCUCACAGCUAUUUUUUUUCUUAUUUUCUUCAGGCCUGCCAAAAAGCAGACACAAUUACUGGACUAUGCAGUACAGAUUAUCAGUAAGGCAGGCCCUGAGACCUCUGUACAAAACUGCAAACACAAUCUGAAGCUUGAUCAGUGCUCAUAAGCAAUUAUAUAUAUUGUUGCUUGUCAUAACACAAGACUUUAUUCAAUAACCCAGACUGUGUUUGCCACUCCUUUCUGUUUAGGGCAAGAAUUAUCCAUGCAAUGCUAACUGUUGUGCAGAUAUAUUUUAUUCUUAGCAUUUAACUUAUUUUAAGAAUUAAAUGUGUGCAUAUAUCUUCAGUGAGAGGAGUAGUAGAAAUGCUAAGUUGCAGCUUGAGCCAGUGAUUGAGCACCUGGUAGGAAGGCAGGGCCAACCAGGAAAGCUCAGGUGCAAGUAAUGCUCCUGAGUAACUGGUAGUGGUGGAGCCAGGAUUCUCAGACUUCAUUUGAGGUCUGAGUUGAGAGCAUCUUCUUUGGGGAUCUGAGUGUAGCCUGAGGACUUUAUGUAUCUUCUGAGGAAAACCUUCUUGGCUUCCAUCCAAUAUAGACGUGUUGGAAAAUACUGAUGAAAAGUGUCUUUAUCAUUGUAAAUAAAACACAAAUGCAGCACGCUUUCCUAAAUUCAAAUUUUCCAGGAAGGACAUAAGGUUCCACAUGCCUUGCUCUUAAGGAGUGACUCGCUAUGGCCUAAUAAGCAAUGGAAAUCUUCCAGACUGGGGAAGAGUGGAUGAAAAAAGUGGAUCAAAGGCCCAGAUGGGCCUCUGUGACUGAAAUCUUCUGGAAUGAAGGACCAGAGGAGAUGUCUGUUCAGUGCAAGCAACGAGUGAUUCUCAGGGAGCUCCCCCUUACUCUGGCUCCAUUGGUACCAGCCACAACUUCCUUGGAGUAUGGUAAGGCAUUUCUUUUCAUUGCCUCUGGUGAAGUGUAACAGAAGUCCACAUUACGUAUGGAGAGCCAAAGCUACUGCAGUACUGAAUGAGUUGAAAACGGAAGUUGCUGGUUAUCUCCAAGCAGGAUCAUGAAGUACCAAGUGGUCCUGGUGGAACAUGAGGGUAUACAAGUGCUUGGGGAUGGUAGCAGUUUAGUGUGAGAUGGCUGAAGAAGGCCAGGUUCAUGGCACAGGUGGCACCAACACCUCUGGAAGUCACAGUACAUCUGUUCCAAAUUGAUGAGUGGGUGUAUCUACAGACUCGAGCUCUGAACCUCUACAGCAGAAGUGGAAAGGACCAUAUCAAAUACUACUGAUAACAUAAACUGCUAUCAAGACAUCAGGAGUAGAAUCUUGAAUGCAUUACACAAGAAUAAAAAGCACCCAGCCCACAGUGGCAAGUAGAACCAACUGCACUGCUGAAACUGAAAUUUUCACAUAAAUGAAUGUAGCUUGUAGACAAGGAAGUGAAAAAUCAUAUUAUGAAAUUAAAUGUAAUUAUUGAGGUAUGGUUACCAUUAGAGUACAUAGUGAUUUUUUUUUUUUUUUUUUGCUUUAUAUUAACUGCAUUAAUUGUUUGCUUAUAUGUUUGGAAAAAACCUCUCUUGUAGUACUUAAGGGAUAUAUAUUCUGCUUGUCUAAAAUGAUAACAAUUUUAUUAAUACUUAUGCUUAUUGAUAGCCUGGGAUCAAAAUAAGCACAUGAAAUUGAUGGAAAAGGCAUUAGAUGUGCUCAGAGUUGUCAAAAUGUGGCAAGUCCAUACCUGUGAUGGGGGUCAUCACUAUUGAAACAGUCGGGAUACAGUAUUUGUUAUCAAACCUGUAGGUACUUUGUAGACAAAUAUACAGAAUCACAAACAGAUUGUAUGAAUGAUACCACUUGUCUGGACAUAGGGACUAGUCAAUUAGAGAAAGCUCCAGUAGGAAGAUGGCUGCACUGUAAAUGGACAGUACAAAUGACAGAUGAGCUUGGGGGGGGAGGGGAGGUGGAAAGAGGGAUAAAUAUUGGGUGUCAGCUGAAUGGAAAGGAUGGCACUUGCUGUUGGGAGACCGAGCUUGGAGGAUACCUCUUCCAUGGUGGAUCAGAACCUGUACCCUUGAAAUAGUAAUGCCAAAGGUUAACAGAUAAGUUAGCUAGGAUAAUACAGGCCCAAGUACCCUCAAAAGUCAAGAGAGAAUUGCUCAUUCCACCAAUGGAAAGAACUGGUAGAUUUCACUCAUUCAUCAGGUGGUUAACUCUCUUUUUAGGAGUUGUAGAAUUGGAAAAGGCUAUAGUGAACAUCUCAGCAGAUAUAAAACGCCUUGAAAGUAAACCUUUAGAUGCUAUUAUUGCCCUUGAAGAAGUCCAAAGCUUAGCCAGAGUGGCUAAGGGAAUGCAAAAUAGAGUGGCUUUAGGUAUGUUGUUUACUGCACAAGGGGGGAUUGACACAGUAGUGAGUACUAGUGGUUGUGUUCAUGUAGAUCAGAGUGGUGGAAUAGAAACAAAUGCCAAACUGAAGUAAUGCAUAAAGUAAGCCAAGAUGAUGUAAGCUGAAACCAAAAUGACUUCCUGGCUUCCCAAAUUCAAAUGGUUAAAGACAUUAUCUGUGGAAUAGUGUGUAAUUGCUAUAUGUAUCGUUGUUUGUUGCAUGAUUGAAUGUUGGAGAUGUAUCUAAAUUUGAAAGGUCAAGAAUGGGGAGGAUUAGGACAGUAAUCCUCGAAAAGAAGAUGGCAAUAGGGAUUACUGCAUUAGUUUAAGAACAAAAAUAUUAGGUUAGUAAAAGGAGUCUGUAAGUGAUAGCUCUGAAACAUUCAGUUUUAGCUUCAGUCUCAUCCCCAGUGCAAAACUGAGGAGAAACAUAAUAGAAUACUUUCAUCUUCUAUUUCAAUGACUGUGGCUCAUGAGAAGUAUUGGAGUUGCAAUAGAAUGGAUUUUUCUCAGAUUCUUGGAUUCCACAUAUGCUGUCUUUAAGAAAUGGCUCACUAUGGCCUAAUAAGCAAUGGGAAUCUUCCAGACUGGGGGAAAGUGGAGGGAAAUGGGUCAAAGGCUUCAGUGAAUUAAUGUAUCUUAAUAAUAAUAAUAAUAAUGUAAUGCUAUGCAAUGUGCUACUCCUAUGUAUGUCUUAACUGUAUAAACGUAGAACCUGAAAUCUGAGAGGAUGUGCUUGCUUCUCUUGUUGCCCAGUGCGCAUCACGAGGAAUAAAGAAAUGACACUUUCUAACACCACACUGGAAAUAGAGCUGUUUUCCCCAGAUUUUAGUUGACUGUGUUUUGAUCAAUCAUUUGGACGCUUUUUCUGGAAUAAUUUCUUUGUCUAUGUUAUGUGUUCUGUAGUCCAUUUUCAUUUUUUAUGUCAGUAAAACCUGUAGAUAAUAGAGAAUAUUUGCAUGCUGAUUAAGGACUGCAAGCAUUCAUUGUCAUGCAAGCACCAACGACUUGAAAUUUUAAGAUUUGGGAAACUGACAAAACUAGACAGGUAUAAUUCUGGAAACAAUUAUCCAAUUAUCCACCCCAGAUGAGGGAGUGCUACAGAUUUAAUCAAAAAACCUAUGGAAUGCAUUACUGUCAAUUAAAUCACAUCCCAUGCAAGUUAUUAAAGCAUUUUCCUUUGUGUAGAUGAUAAGCGUUCCAGUAUGCACAGAAGAAAUGAAGUAGAACACAAAAGGGCAAUAGGAAAUUAAGAAGGGGCUGAUGUUUUUGUAGCACAAAAUUGUAUUAUUCAAAAAUCAAGGAAAUUGGACACAAAGGAUGGAAUGAGGAGGGGGGAAAAAAAAGCUGAAGAAGAGGUUCAUUUGUGUACAGAGCAGUUAGGACAGAGAAAUUACAGUGGUUGUUAACCUAUUAUUCAGUGACAAAUUAAAAUUGAACUAAUUACUGUAGAAACCUCACUGAUACCUGGCCUAUAAAGACACAUACCUUGGUUAGAAAGCACUUCAAAUAAGCAGCAAAGAACUCUUCUUUACACCAUUUUAUUCAGA